rnacentral:lncRNA from 14 species
GUCUGGGGCAUGCAAGGAGAGCUCAUUCCCAAGCAGGCAUCCCCCAGCCAUGUGAAUAGACUGCAGAGAGCUGACCACUGUUGAUCAGAAUGGAUCCUGUCAUUCAUGGACACAUCCUUCCUUGCAUUCGCAAACAGAUCCAUGCUUUUCUCAGACUUUGUCAUGGGAAUUGCUCAGGGGAAGCCAAUUCCCACAUUGCACUUUGUCUUCGGUUAGAAGCUUAACAAAUUCCAGUUAUGCAGCUUUGCUGCUGUCCCCAGCCUGCAGGAAUAUCACUGCCUCUGUUGGAGUUAUAAGCCCAAGGAUUAUGUUUCAUGUUACUGAGCCAUGACAGCAUGGAAAUGAACACAGAGAGAUACAAACACCAUCAAACCCACUUAACUUCAAAUCAGUUCUUGGCUAUUUCUACCACCAACACGGUUCCAGUGCUAGUAGAUGCUCUUCAAAUAUCAGUAAGUUUUGGCAGCUUCUCUUCAGCAAAAGGAGACAGGAUCUUUGGAAUACAGCUUUUUUUUCACCCAGAUCUUUUCAAGAAGUCUCCCCCUUCUGCUCAUUCUAGGAUUAAGAAGGUGACCAUGUGA